rnacentral:rRNA from 1 species
AAAUUGAAGAGUUUGAUCAUGGCUCAGAUUGAACGCUGGCGGCAGGCCUAACACAUGCAAGUCGAGCGGUAGCACAGAGAGCUUGCUCUCGGGUGACGAGCGGCGGACGGGUGAGUAAUGUCUGGGAAACUGCCUGAUGGAGGGGGAUAACUACUGGAAACGGUAGCUAAUACCGCAUAAUGUCGCAAGACCAAAGUGGGGGACCUUCGGGCCUCAUGCCAUCAGAUGUGCCCAGAUGGGAUUAGCUAGUAGGUGGGGUAAUGGCUCACCUAGGCGACGAUCCCUAGCUGGUCUGAGAGGAUGACCAGCCACACUGGAACUGAGACACGGUCCAGACUCCUACGGGAGGCAGCAGUGGGGAAUAUUGCACAAUGGGCGCAAGCCUGAUGCAGCCAUGCCGCGUGUGUGAAGAAGGCCUUCGGGUUGUAAAGCACUUUCAGCGGGGAGGAAGGCGUUAAGGUUAAUAACCUCAUCGAUUGACGUUACCCGCAGAAGAAGCACCGGCUAACUCCGUGCCAGCAGCCGCGGUAAUACGGAGGGUGCAAGCGUUAAUCGGAAUUACUGGGCGUAAAGCGCACGCAGGCGGUCUGUCAAGUCGGAUGUGAAAUCCCCGGGCUCAACCUGGGAACUGCAUUCGAAACUGGCAGGCUAGAGUCUUGUAGAGGGGGGUAGAAUUCCAGGUGUAGCGGUGAAAUGCGUAGAGAUCUGGAGGAAUACCGGUGGCGAAGGCGGCCCCCUGGACAAAGACUGACGCUCAGGUGCGAAAGCGUGGGGAGCAAACAGGAUUAGAUACCCUGGUAGUCCACGCCGUAAACGAUGUCGAUUUGGAGGUUGUGCCCUUGAGGCGUGGCUUCCGGAGCUAACGCGUUAAAUCGACCGCCUGGGGAGUACGGCCGCAAGGUUAAAACUCAAAUGAAUUGACGGGGGCCCGCACAAGCGGUGGAGCAUGUGGUUUAAUUCGAUGCAACGCGAAGAACCUUACCUGGUCUUGACAUCCACAGAACUUUCCAGAGAUGGAUUGGUGCCUUCGGGAACUGUGAGACAGGUGCUGCAUGGCUGUCGUCAGCUCGUGUUGUGAAAUGUUGGGUUAAGUCCCGCAACGAGCGCAACCCUUAUCCUUUGUUGCCAGCGGUCCGGCCGGGAACUCAAAGGAGACUGCCAGUGAUAAACUGGAGGAAGGUGGGGAUGACGUCAAGUCAUCAUGGCCCUUACGACCAGGGCUACACACGUGCUACAAUGGCAUAUACAAAGAGAAGCGACCUCGCGAGAGCAAGCGGACCUCAUAAAGUAUGUCGUAGUCCGGAUUGGAGUCUGCAACUCGACUCCAUGAAGUCGGAAUCGCUAGUAAUCGUAGAUCAGAAUGCUACGGUGAAUACGUUCCCGGGCCUUGUACACACCGCCCGUCACACCAUGGGAGUGGGUUGCAAAAGAAGUAGGUAGCUUAACCUUCGGGAGGGCGCUUACCACUUUGUGAUUCAUGACUGGGGUGAAGUCGUAACAAGGUAACCGUAGGGGAACCUGCGGUUGGAUCACCUCCUUA